rnacentral:lncRNA from 1 species
AAUUCCCAUUUCCCACGGUUGCCACCACCACAUCACCCACCAGAACGAAAACGAGGUUCGUGAGAGAGGGUAGGAACAUGACCUUCCACUGUGGACAGAAGAUCCUACACAAGAAAGGCAAAGUAUAGUGAGUAGCCAACACUGGGCAGGCGUGGGGCUCCCUGGGAUACCCCGUGUGGUGUGUAUAUCCUGGGGUCCUUGGCACGGGCAGGGCAGGCAUGCAGGAACCUAACCUCUGCAGCUGGUACAAGGACCAGGAACCCCUGGAGUUCUCCUACCCUGGCUAUCUGGCCCUGGGUGAGGCACGGCUGAGCAUCAUUGCCAAUGCAGUCAACGAAGGCACCUACACAUGUGUGGUACGCCACCGCCAGCGUGUUCUCACCACCUACUCCUGGAGGGUCCGAGUGAGGAGCUGAGCCAGCUCCAGCCUCUGUGCUGGAAGCCAGCAGAUAAAGCACUUUCUCUCUG